CUGGGGGGAGACCCCCUCCCUCCUGCGCUUGGGCGCUGUCAGAAAGGGAGAAAAAGGUCUGGACACUGCUGCUGAGGGCACCUGCAGAUGAACUGGAGAAAAACAGCAGCAUGUUUGAAUGGAGAGAUGCUGGAGUGGGCCAGGAAUCAAUGUUUCCUUUCUGUGAAAAUGUCUGUUUUUCAUGGGCAAAAAAAGGAAGAGCAUUGGCUCUGUUCAUUUCUGAAAAUGAACCUCAGAUUCCUCCGAGUUUGACCCUAUGGAGCAACAGUGUCUGCUUUUUGCUAUUUCUGUCCCUCAGACCCUCCUCCCAGGUUAUCUCCAUUCCAACUCACAUUCCUUGGGUUUGAUGAGAAAUGAGCUCCUUGACUGACUUCUGGACAGGAAGUUUGGCUUCAGCAUUCAUGCUCCAGGCUUUCCCUUU